GCAGAGAUGCUUUGGUGCCUUCGGGAACUGUGAGACAGGUGCUGCAUGGCUGUCGUCAGCUCGUGUUGUGAAAUGUUGGGUUAAGUCCCGCAACGAGCGCAACCCUUAUCCUUUGUUGCCAGCGGUUCGGCCGGGAACUCAAAGGAGACUGCCAGUGAUAAACUGGAGGAAGGUGGGGAUGACGUCAAGUCAUCAUGGCCCUUACGACCAGGGCUACACACGUGCUACAAUGGCAUAUACAAAGAGAAGCGACCUCGCGAGAGCAAGCGGACCUCAUAAAGUAUGUCGUAGUCCGGAUUGGAGUCUGCAACUCGACUCCAUGAAGUCGGAAUCGCUAGUAAUCGUAGAUCAGAAUGCUACGGUGAAUACGUUCCCGGGCCUUGUACACACCGCCCGUCACACCAUGGGAGUGGGUUGCAAAAGAAGUAGGUAGCUUAACCUUCGGGAGGGCGCUUACCACUUUGUGAUUCAUGACUGGGGUGAAGUCGUAACAAGGUAACCGUAGGGGAACCUGCGGUUGGAUCACCUCCUUA
rnacentral:rRNA from 2 species